rnacentral:rRNA from 1 species
AUAGGGGAGCCGAAGGGAAACCGAGUCUUAACUGGGCGUUAAGUUGCAGGGUAUAGACCCGAAACCCGGUGAUCUAGCCAUGGGCAGGUUGAAGGUUGGGUAACACUAACUGGAGGACCGAACCGACUAAUGUUGAAAAAUUAGCGGAUGACCUGUGGCUGGGGGUGAAAGGCCAAUCAAACCGGGAGAUAGCUGGUUCUCCCCGAAAGCUAUUUAGGUAGCGCCUCGUGAACUCAUCUUCGGGGGUAGAGCACUGUUUCGGCUAGGGGGCCAUCCCGGCUUACCAACCCGAUGCAAACUACGAAUACCGAAGAAUGUUAUCACGGGAGACACACGGCGGGUGCUAACGUCCGUCGUGAAGAGGGAAACAACCCAGACCGCCAGCUAAGGUCCCAAAGUCAUGGUUAAGUGGGAAACGAUGUGGGAAGGCACAGACAGCCAGGAUGUUGGCUUAGAAGCAGCCAUCAUUUAAAGAAAGCGUAAUAGCUCACUGGUCGAGUCGGCCUGCGCGGAAGAUGUAACGGGGCUAAACCAUGCACCGAAGCUGCGGCAGCGACGCUUAUGCGUUGUUGGGUAGGGGAGCGUUCUGUAAGCCGUUGAAGGUGGCCUGUGAGGGUUGCUGGAGGUAUCAGAAGUGCGAAUGCUGACAUAAGUAACGAUAAAGCGGGUGAAAAGCCCGCUCGCCGGAAGACCAAGGGUUCCUGUCCAACGUUAAUCGGGGCAGGGUGAGUCGACCCCUAAGGCGAGGCCGAAAGGCGUAGUCGAUGGGAAACAGGUUAAUAUUCCUGUACUUGGUGUUACUGCGAAGGGGGGACGGAGAAGGCUAUGUUAGCCGGGCGACGGUUGUCCCGGUUUAAGCAUGUAGGCGGAGGUUCCAGGUAAAUCCGGUACCUUUUAACGCUGAGGUGUGAUGACGAGGCACUACGGUGCUGAAGUAACAAAUGCCCUGCUUCCAGGAAAAGCCUCUAAGCAUCAGGUAACACGAAAUCGUACCCCAAACCGACACAGGUGGUCAGGUAGAGAAUACCAAGGCGCUUGAGAGAACUCGGGUGAAGGAACUAGGCAAAAUGGUGCCGUAACUUCGGGAGAAGGCACGCUGAUAUGUAGGUGAAGCCCCUGCGGGUGGAGCUGAAAUCAGUCGAAGAUACCAGCUGGCUGCAACUGUUUAUUAAAAACACAGCACUGUGCAAACACGAAAGUGGACGUAUACGGUGUGACGCCUGCCCGGUGCCGGAAGGUUAAUUGAUGGGGUUAGCGGCAACGCGAAGCUCUUGAUCGAAGCCCCGGUAAACGGCGGCCGUAACUAUAACGGUCCUAAGGUAGCGAAAUUCCUUGUCGGGUAAGUUCCGACCUGCACGAAUGGCGUAAUGAUGGCCAGGCUGUCUCCACCCGAGACUCAGUGAAAUUGAACUCGCUGUGAAGAUGCAGUGUACCCGCGGCAAGACGGAAAGACCCCGUGAACCUUUACUAUAGCUUGACACUGAACACUGGUCCUUGAUGUGUAGGAUAGGUGGGAGGCUUUGAAGCGUGGACGCCAGUCUGCGUGGAGCCGACCUUGAAAUACCACCCUUUAAUGGCUGGUGUUCUAACGUAGACCCGUAAUCCGGGUUGCGGACAGUGUCUGGUGGGUAGUUUGACUGGGGCGGUCUCCUCCCAAAGAGUAACGGAGGAGCACGAAGGUUAGCUAAUCCUGGUCGGACAUCAGGAGGUUAGUGCAAUGGCAUAAGCUAGCUUGACUGCGAGAGUGACGGCUCGAGCAGGUGCGAAAGCAGGUCAUAGUGAUCCGGUGGUUCUGAAUGGAAGGGCCAUCGCUCAACGGAUAAAAGGUACUCCGGGGAUAACAGGCUGAUACCGCCCAAGAGUUCAUAUCGACGGCGGUGUUUGGCACCUCGAUGUCGGCUCAUCACAUCCUGGGGCUGAAGUAGGUCCCAAGGGUAUGGCUGUUCGCCAUUUAAAGUGGUACGCGAGCUGGGUUUAGAACGUCGUGAGACAGUUCGGUCCCUAUCUGCCGUGGGCGCUGGAGAAUUGAGGGGGGCUGCUCCUAGUACGAGAGGACCGGAGUGGACGCAUCACUGGUGUUCGGGUUGUCAUGCCAAUGGCACUGCCCGGUAGCUAAAUGCGGAAGAGAUAAGUGCUGAAAGCAUCUAAGCACGAAACUUGCCCCGAGAUGAGUUCUCCCUGAGACUAUAAGUCUCCUGAAGGAACGUUGAAGACGACGACGUUGAUAGGUCGGGUGUGUAAGCGCAGCGAUGCGUUGAGCUAACCGAUACUAAUGAACCGUGAGGCUUAACCUUACAACGCCGAAG